AUCUAGUUGACGAGUCUCAAAUAGGACGAAACGCGCCUUCUAAAU
rnacentral:hammerhead_ribozyme from 1 species